GCUCCUUUUAGAGAAGAGCUGAUUUUCUAAUAAGGUCUGAGGGCAGGGGUCUUUCCAGCAUCACCAGUUCCAUAGCUUGGUUCUACUUUGUACCAACCUGCAUAAGCAUAACAGACACACGGGCUGAGAGAAGUCUCCCCACAGCUCUCAUUUCCCUCUUUAAGUGGAAGGCCUGCUAGUGGAUUGCAAUGGUAUCACUUCUUCCUUUUCUUCAGAAGGCUUUGGUCUGCCACACCCAACCACUUCAAUGGCUGUCGCAUUCUACGUUCCCCAAGAGAGCUUUCCACAGGCUUCCAUUUCUGCAGCUUUAGAAGGCAUCUGAUCCAGGAGCUUCAUUUAAGGAAGCCCAAAAGAGACACGGAAGCACCUGGGCAGUAAGAGGCUGAGCAAGAAAGGAUGGCAGGUGUGCUUGCUUCCAAGUUCGUGCCUCUCAACCACCAUCCACUUCCGCCUUUGAUGUUUUCCUGCAGCCUCGACUCUGUGUACACCCUCAGACCAGCGCUUAUUCUCAUCUCUACCAGCUGCAACCUCAACUGUGCUCUAGCCACCAGCGCCAUCUCUGACAUAGGAGGGCACCCACUGCCUUCUCAGGAGGCUGGGGAAAAUGGACCCUUUUUGAGCAUGAAAUCACACCAAUCUUACUGCUGAAAUAUUUGCCUGAAGAGGAUCACAAGCUGGGAACAUGGGUGUUGGAGAAAGAGAGUGGGAAAGAAAAGUCAUCUUUUGUGCCUUGGGGGCCUCUUUGAUGCAGUUCAAUGGGAGAGUAAAAGACAAUAUCCUCUUCAUCAAACUUCAGAAGAUAUGAUGUUCCUGUCAGUUUCCCCAGCAGUGAAAAUCUUUUCCCACAGCACAAGAUGGGAACUUGCCUUGUAAUCAUGGCUGAGAUGCCAGUUGCAGAAAACUGUCACAUUUUUGUUACAAGGUGUUGGAUAUUUAUUGGAGAAGUGGGUUUAUUACUGUUUUGUACUUUCUUGUAUCCCUUUGUUGCACGGACCUUUAUCUUUUGGACUAAUGAAGACUUUAAAGAAGCUUAGAAGGUCCCAUCUAGAUCUUCAAAGGUAUCCGCUGAUAUUUACCUUGUCAGCUUACCCAAGCAGGAAAGUCAAUCCUUCCACCAACAGGUAUUUUUGAGUAUUCUAUAUACCAGUUAAUACACAGGCUCAGAGAAUAUAAAAUUUAGAACACAUGAUUCCUGUUGUUGAGAAUUAAGGGCAUCUCUACACCUUCUUGUAACUGUCCAACAUCCUUAACAGACA
rnacentral:lncRNA from 1 species